rnacentral:rRNA from 1 species
AUACGUAGGGGGCUAGCGUUAUCCGGGAUUACUGGGCGUAAAGGGUGCGUAGGUGGUUUCUUAAGUCAGAGGUGAAAGGCUACGGCUCAACCGUAGUAAGCCUUUGAAACUGGGAAACUUGAGUGCAGGAGAGGAGAGUGGAAUUCCUAGUGUAGCGGUGAAAUGCGUAGAUAUUAGGAGGAACACCAGUUGCGAAGGCGGCUCUCUGGACUGUAACUGACACUGAGGCACGAAAGCGUGGGGAGCAAACAGGAUUAGAUACCCUGGUAGUCCACGCCGUAAACGAUGAGUACUAGCUGUCGGAGGUUACCCCCUUCGGUGGCGCAGCUAACGCAUUAAGUACUCCGCCUGGGAAGUACGCUCGCAAGAGUGAA